AGGCAUUGUGAGGGAACUUUCUAAAAAUAUCCUUGAAUCUCUCAUAGCUCUCAUAAUUAGAUUCUCCUUCUAACUGAGUAAAAGAAGUAAUAUCAUUUUAAAGUUU